UGCUUCAAAUGUGACAAGAAAAGAAUAAAGGCUAUCAUGAUUGUUUGAGUUCAGACUUUACACUGAAGCCAUCUGUAAAGACAUGGAGU
rnacentral:lncRNA from 1 species